rnacentral:rRNA from 1 species
GUGAGGAAUAUUGGUCAAUGGGCGGAAGCCUGAACCAGCCAAGUCGCGUGAAGGAAGAAGGAUCUAUGGUUUGUAAACUUCUUUUGAAGGGGGAUAAAGUGCGUCACGAGUGGUGCAUUGCAGGUACCCUUGGAAUAAGCAUCGGCUAACUCCGUGCCAGCAGCCGCGGCACUACGGAGGAUGCGAGCGUUAUCCGGAUUGAUUGGGUUUAAAGGGUGCGUAGGUGGCUUUUUAAGUCAGCGGUGAAAACUGGCGGCUCAACCGCAAGAGUGCCGUUGAAGCUGGGGAGCUAGAGUAUGAACGAGGUAGGAGGAAUGUGUGGUGUAGCGGUGAAAUGCAUAGAUAUCACGCAGAACUCCGAUAGCGAAGGCAGCUUACCAGGCCAUAACAGACACUGAAGCACGAAAGCGUGGGGAUCGAACAGGAUUAGAAACCCUUGUAGUCC